UACGUAGGGUGCGAGCGUUAAUCGGAAUUACUGGGCGUAAAGCGUGCGCAGGCGGUUCGUUAUGUCCGUUGUGAAAGCCCCGGGCUCAACCUGGGAAUGGCAAUGGAAACUGGCGGGCUAGAGUGUGGCAGAGGGGGGUGGAAUUCCGCGUGUAGCAGUGAAAUGCGUAGAUAUGCGGAGGAACACCGAUGGCGAAGGCAAUCCCCUGGGCCUGCACUGACGCUCAUGCACGAAAGCGUGGGGAGCAAACAGG
rnacentral:rRNA from 1 species